CCCCUGUGAACAUACCAAUUGNUGCCUCGGCGGAUCAGCNCGCUCCCGGUAAAACGGGACGGCCCGCCAGAGGACCCCUAAACUCUGUUUCUAUAUGUAACUUCUGAGUAAANCCAUAAAUAAAUCAAAACUUUCAACAACGGAUCUCUUGGUUCUGGCAUCGAUGAAGAACGCAGCAAAAUGCGAUAAGUAAUGUGAAUUGCAGAAUUCAGUGAAUCAUCGAAUCUUUGAACGCACAUUGCGCCCGCCAGUAUUCUGGCGGGCAUGCCUGUUCGAGCGUCAUUUCAACCCUCAAGCCCCCGGGUUUGGUGUUGGGGAUCGGCGAGCCCUUGCGGCAAGCCGGCCCCGAAAUCUAGUGGCGGUCUCGCUGCAGCUUCCAUUGCGUAGUAGUAAAACCCUCGCAACUGGUACGCGGCGCGGCCAAGCCGUUAAACCCCCAACUUCUGAAUGUUGACCUCGGAUCAGGUAGGAAU
rnacentral:rRNA from 1 species